rnacentral:rRNA from 1 species
CGCUGGCGGCGUGCCUAACACAUGCAAGUCGCACGAGAAAGUGGAGUAAUCCAUGAGUAAAGUGGCGCACGGGUGAGUAACACGUGAAUGAUCUACCUCCGAGUGGGGAAUAACUGAGAGAAAUCUUAGCUAAUACCGCAUNAUACCCACGGGUCAAAGCAGCAAUGCGCUUGGAGAGGAGUUCGCGGCCGAUUAGUUAGUUGGCGGGGUAAUGGCCCACCAAGACGAUGAUCGGUAUCCGCCCUGAGAGGGCGCACGGACACACUGGAACUGAAACACGGUCCAGACUCCUACGGGAGGUAGCAGUGGCGAAUUUUGCGCAAUGGGGGAAACCCUGACGCAGCAACGCCGCGU